GGACAGGCCAGGGCAGGUCGAGGGCAGGCAGAGGUCAGUAAUCCAGGGCAGAGUCAAAGAGGUACAGAACGGCAGGCAGGGUCAGGGCAGGCAGAGGUCAGUAAUCCAGGGCAGAGUCAAAGAGUUACAGAACGGCAGGCAGGGCCAGGGCAGGCAGAAUGGUCAGAACAGGGAAGACUAGAAAACCUUACAAAAACGGGAAAACACGCUGGUAAGACUUGACGGGACAAGGCGAACUGGCAACAGACAAACAGAAAACACUGAUAUAAAUACACAGGGGAUAAGGGGGGAAAUUGGGAGACACCUAGUAGGGGGUGGAGACAAGCACAAUACAGGUGAAACUGAUCAGGACGUGACAGCCGCAUACAAACAUGGCCUCUUUUUUGCUUUCUUGAGUAAGGCAGCUCCAAAAUGCAGGUGGCGGAAAAUACGGAGCGUAGGGGUUGGUAAUGUUUUCUAGUUGCGCCGUGAUUGGCUCAGUGUUCUGUCACUCAUGGGGACACUACGUCACCGCAAAAUCUACAGGAAGAGCUUGAAAAUCCAAGCCCCUUGGGUGCUGCCAUAGAUUCUACAUUAGAAGUGCCCAUCCAAGAAAGCUCAAGGUCAUUGGUUACAGAUAAAAUGACGUCAAAUCACGUUAUAUCUACUGUAGCUUUGAUUGGACUGAUCAUGUUAAUAUCAUACUUUAAAAAUCUUAGUUAGCAAGGUAGACAAGCAAUCAUCAUCAUGAAUCACAUUGAAAAUAAUUUGCCAGUAGAUUGUCAAUCCUUUUCAUAUGAAGAGAAAUGAUAGAUAAAACGAAUCGGUGCUCAUCGGCCAUUGGACAUAAACAUUACACUACAAGUUCAAAAAUCGCUAAUUCAACAAUGAGUCAUUUGGAAGGAAUCAGUGACUAACUGCAAAUGUUUCAAAAAUAAUCCCUAGCCUGCUAUUCAGUGGAGUGGGUGUGUGGUCCAAGUCUGGGUUUAAGGUUCUCUUUUCCAAGUUUAAAAGGAUAAACAUUCAACACCAUGGGUCAGAGGUUGAAUACAUUGGCCAUGCUGUCAAUCCAGCAUGACUUCUGCCGCAUUCAAAACAACUGGAAACUUGGAACUGGGAAAUCUCAGACUUCAGUUAGUUCAAGACAACUGGGAACUCUGAAAAAAACAAGCUCCGACUGGGAAAAUACUUUUUGA
rnacentral:lncRNA from 1 species